CCUACGGGAGGCAGCAGUGGGGAAUAUUGGGCAAUGGGCGCAAGCCUGACCCAGCAACGCCGCGUGAAGGAAGAAGGCUUUCGGGUUGUAAACUUCUUUUAUGAGGGACGAGCAGAAGACGGUACCCCUUGAAUAAGCCACGGCCAACUACGUGCCAGCAGCCGCGGUAAUACGUAGGUGGCAAGCGUUGUCCGGAUUUACUGGGUGGAAAGGGCGUGUAGCCGGGCUGGCAAGUCAGAUGUGAAAUUCCAGGGCUCAACCCCGGACCUGCAUUUGAAACUGUUGGUCUUGAGUAUCGGAGAGGCAGGCGGAAUUCCUAGUGUAGCGGUGAAAUGCGUAGAUAUUAGGAGGAACACCAGUGGCGAAGGCGGCCUGCUGGACGACAACUGACGGUGAGGCGCGAAAGCGUGGGGAGCAAACAGGAUUAGAUACCCUUGUAGUC
rnacentral:rRNA from 1 species